rnacentral:misc_RNA from 1 species
AUGAAUGAUGCUCACUUCAAGUUUAGUCGCCACCGUGAUUCUAAUCAUUGCGCUGAUCGUUGCUUUCUUCGUUGUUGACGAAUCAUGGUUUUCUAUAUGGAUGGUAAAAGCACACGAUUUCACGAGAGAAAAUUUCGUUUUUGUGACGCCAUUUUUACCGAGGGUUGAGCUGAUAGAUGAAACAGCGACCUACAUAGAACUCUGUUUCCUGGCUGUUCUGUGCUUUCUCCUAUCUUGGGUUGCCUCUUUUUUGUUGGUAAAAAUCCUGAACCACGCUUGGACAAUUCUCAACAAAGUCGUUGAGAUUGUAAUUAGUGUAAGUAUAAUCAUUUAGAGUUCUAAAAUUCGAUCUCGAGCUAGUUUUGAUACUCUUUACACGUGUAGGUGUAUCUAUUGAGUUUCAAGAAGAAAAAAACGAUUGUUGUUCAUACAGUUUAUGAAAAAAAUCGAUUGUAGAGGUAUAAAUGCAAUGUACUCGAGAACAGUUAAACACACUAUUUAAAUGUUAUAGGAAAAUAAUUUUAUAUAUUCCCGACCAAAACUUUUUGCUACCUUCAAAAAUGGAUGGGUCAGAAGUUGAGACUGACACGACAGAUUUCAAGUAAACAGUUGUUGUCCCUUCCAUACAUGGAACAUUUGGUUCUUCCGUCAGUGUGAUGUUCCAACUGAAAGAGUUGACAUGCAUGUUGGCGUGUUAUUAUAAUCCUUUUAUAAUGCCAUCAUUUCAGCAUGAACGACAAAGAAAUAUAUCUUAGUCAUUUUUAAUCAGAUUUCUCCCUGAUUUUGUAAGAUUAAUGUGUUUUUUUGUUGUGAGUCGGAUUUCUUUCAAUACGUAUUAUUGUAGAUUGAUGUGUUUUUGCAGUGAUUAAUAAGAACUUUCUUUUGUAUUUGGUAUAUAGAUUGUUGUGUUCUUCUUUUCUUCUGUGACGUCAGCAAUUGGGAUCCAGAUUAUAAAGUGCGCGAUAAUUCCCUUGACAGCUGUUAUAGUUUACCUCACAUGGGACACACUGAAAGAUUUAGCAGCGAAGUAUUUCUGAAAGAUGCUCCUGUUUCAGUUGGCAAAAGCACCAGCUCUUUCUGUGGCAGUGAAAAUGAGACUUUUUUUAAUUGCAGACCAACCAUGAUGUCAAAAUCAACGAUAUUGUACAUCAUUUAUUGAUAUUCAUUAUAUUUGCUUGCCUCAUACAUGUAGUUUUUAUAAAAUUUUAGCAAUAUAAACUCAAUAUGAAUUUG